UCGCUGCUUGCGCAGGCAGUCUCACUAGAGUCCCCGGCAUGAUCCGCUGGUAACUAGCAAUAGGGGUUGCGCUCGUUGCGGGACUUAACCAAACAUCUCACGACACGAGCUGACGACGGCCAUGCAACAUCUGUCACUUGGUUCAAUAAAGCACUCUCUCCUUUCGAAGAGAUUCCAAGGAUGUCAAGCCCUGGUAAGGUUCUUCGGUUAGCAUCGAAUUAAAGAACAUAAUCCACCGCUUGUGCGGGUCCCCGUCAAUUCCUUUAUGUUUUAGCCUUGCGGCCGUACUCCACAGGCGGGAUACUUAACGCGUUAGCUUCGCUACGGAGGGGGUCGAUACCCCCCACAGCUAGUAUCCAUCGUUUACGGCGUGGACUAC
rnacentral:misc_RNA from 1 species